rnacentral:snRNA from 1 species
GGCUGUUGAAGACAAUCUGUUCACAACAUCUGGCACCCCAAUCAUUGUCAGGACUGUUCUCACUGCACUGGUAGCUAAGGUGGACCCUUCCUCCUUCACCACUCUUACACAUGCCUCCAGACUCUUCAGACUUGUCAUCAAGGACACCCUUCCAUGACAGAGAAUUGUUCUUUGGUCAUGAGUAUACAAGUAACUGCAGUUCUCUGGUAGGAAUCUCCAAAUAAAAUUCUGAAGGAAUAUAAAUUUGAACAAGGCACCAAUAUAAUAUAACAUAAUAUAAUAGUGGAUAU